GGCAGUGGGCAAGCACACCAGCCCUCCCCCUCAGAGUUCCACAGAGGGGACAAGGGAGGGGGCCUGAGUCUCAUUCAUAUCCCAGCACAGCCAGGAAUCAGCGCAAUCCCGAAACACUCACUGCCUUCUGGGCCUGAGUCAGGUCACACGAGAGACAUUCACAGGCGGGGACAGAGUCAGUCACAGGUGAGAGCAGAGUCAGGUGCAAGAGAACAGUCAGGGCAGAGUCCGUCACAGGCUGACAGUCACAGGCAGGGGCCGAUUCAGUCACAGGCAGGACAGAGUCAGUCACAGGCAGGGACAGAGUCAGUCACAGG